GCGGGAGAUUACGCAAAUUAACAUAGAUUGUGCAUCCAAAAAUACUCUGGCCUUAAUAGAGGAGCAGGGCAGCUGUCCCAAGCCCUGACCUUCCCUUGGAUUGCCCUGACUGUACUGUCCCCUGCUCAACAGGAAGGGUGCUAACUUCUACCAAAGGCAAGACAUUGAGUCAGACCUGCAUGAUUUUAUUUAAUCCUCCCCUUAAUUCAGAAAGGAUGUUAGAUGGUGCUGAAAGAUUGAGAUGGCGGGGCAUUGAGAAGAAGGAUGGUUUUUGGUUGAUAAUAGACUUUAUAUUUGUGAAUGUUCACCUUUCCUACAAGGAGCUUCACAUAAGUUGA
rnacentral:lncRNA from 1 species